rnacentral:tRNA from 1 species
GGGCCGUUAGCUCAGUCUGGUUAGAGCACCGGACUUUUAAUCCGGGUGUCCAGGGUUCGAAUCCCUGACGGCCCACCA